rnacentral:rRNA from 1 species
AGAAUCAACGCUGGCGGCGUGCCUAACACACGCAAGUCGCACGAGAAAGGGUAGCAAUACCUGAGUAAAGUGGCGCACGGGUGAGUAACACGUGAAUAAUCUACCUCCGAGUGGGGAAUAACUGAGAGAAAUCUUAGCUAAUACCGCAUAACACUUACGAGUCAAAGCAGCAAUGCGCUUGGAGAGGAGUUCGCGGCCGAUUAGUUAGUUGGCGGGGUAAUGGCCCACCAAGACGAUGAUCGGUA